CAUGGUAGAUAUAUCAAAGAUUUAUCGCUUAGAGAUGGACUCGCGUCCGAUUAGUUAGUUGGUGAGGUAACGGCUCACCAAGACCGCGAUCGGUAGCCGGACUGAGAGGUUGAACGGCCACAUUGGGACUGAGACACGGCCCAGACUCCUACGGGAGGCAGCAGUGGGGGAUAUUGCGCAAUGGGGGAAACCCUGACGCAGCAACGCCGCGUGAAGGAUGAAGGUCUUCGGAUUGUAAACUUCUUUUAUUAAGGACGAAGAAAGUGACGGUACUUAAUGAAUAAGCUCCGGCUAACUACGUGCCAGCAGCCGCGGUAAUACGUAGGGAGCAAGCGUUGUCCGGAUUUACUGGGUGUAAAGGGUGCGUAGGUGGCUUUGCAAGUCAGAUGUGAAAUCUAUGGGCUCAACCCAUAGCCUGCAUUUGAAACUGCAGAGCUUGAGUGAAGUAGAGGCAGGCGGAAUUCCCCGUGUAGCGGUGAAAUGCGUAGAGAUGGGGAGGAACGCCAGUGGCGAAGGCGGCCUGCUGGGCUUUAACUGACGCUGAGGCACGAAAGCGUGGGUAGCAAACAGGAUUAGAUACCCUGGUAGUCCACGCUGUAAACGAUGAUUAGUAGGUGUGGGGGGUCUGACCCCUUCCGUGCCGGAG
rnacentral:rRNA from 1 species